AUGGCAGUUGCAGUUGGGUCACCAAGUCUACAUUCCGUCCCGCUGAGUCAGCCUUCCUUGGAUGGCUUUCCUGGAAGCCCCACCCGCCAGCUUCUUACAGCUCAGAACCCUACUCAGGGCUGGGCACCAUGUCACACAAGGCACCUCUCUGCUCCCAACCUACACAAGUUGUGUGACUCCAGGGUCUCCCCUUUCUCUGCUGCCACCCCAUGCCCACCGUCCUUGUGGAUUCCACUUGGAUCGCCCCACAGGAGAAGCUGGAGCCAUGGCUGUGCUUGGUACUCACGCGUCAUGGCCUGUGUCUCCACACUGUCUGGCUACUUGCCGGCCACACUGGCUCAUUUGCCCUGGCACGUGGUGAUGCAUGAACCGGGACCCCACAGAACUCUGGGACAGUGUACUGUACCAACAGCCAGCGUCACCUGCUUGAAACAGUGCCACCCCUGCAAUGCCGUGAUGAGGCUAGACUUUGCCUGUCACCUGGGUGAAGGCAGAGGUGCGGCAGGGAGAACCAUGGCCCCCACCGGCCAACACCAGGAUGAGCAAAAUGGUAUCUGCCGGAGAAGAAGCCGGGCAGAGCAAGGUGGUCAGGCCAGGGCCAUGCCAUUAACACACCCUGGUUGCCUCUUUCGAGAAUAUCUACUGUGUUUAUGAGGUGACGCAGAGCCAGGAGAUGAGCCCCUCCUCUGGGCUCCCGCCGCGGUGAAGGUCAGAGCAAGGUCGAGCGGUUGACCCCCCAAGGCCCCACCUGGCUGUUGUGUACUUGAUUUUACGGUUCCAGGAGGACGG
rnacentral:lncRNA from 1 species